rnacentral:rRNA from 1 species
CAGCCGUAAACUAUGCGCGUUAGGUGUACUGGUGACCACGAGUCACCGGGGUGCCGAAGGGAAACCGUGAAACGUGCCGCCUGGGAAGUACGGUCGCAAGGCUGAAACUUAAAGGAAUUGGCGGGGGAGGCACCACAACGGGUGGGAGCCUGCGGGUUUAAUUUGGACUCAACGCCGGAAAUCUCACCGGAUAGGACAGACAUAUGAUAGUCGGGCCGAAGACUCUACUUGAUGAUCUGAGAGGUGGUGCAUGGCGUCAGUGACU